rnacentral:misc_RNA from 1 species
AACCUUAUGGACCUGCGGGCGUAUACCUGCGGAGGGAUCAUUAUCAAAACAGCGGCCUUCGGGCCUUGCUGCACCCUUGUCUUUUGCGCACCGUAUUGUUUCCUCGGCGGGCUUGCCUGCCGGUUGGACAUUAUCAAACCUUUUUGUAGUUGCAAUCAGCGUCAGAAAAACAAUAAUUAUUACAACUUUUAGCAACGGAUCU